rnacentral:rRNA from 2 species
CAGGAGAAGCUGACGGACACGCCGCGUGAGUGAUGAAGGCUUUCGGGUCGUAAAACUCUGUUGUUAAGGAAGAACAAGUGCUAGUUGAAUAAUCUGGCACUUGACGGUACCUAACCAGAAAGCCACGGCUAACUACGUGCCAGCAGCCGCGGUAAUACAUAGGUGGCAAGCGUUAUCCGGAAUUAUGGGGCGUAAAGCGCGCGCAGGUGGUUUCUUAAGUCUGAUGUGAAAGCCCACGGCUCAACCGUGAAGGGUCAUUGGAAACUGGGAGACUUGAGUGCAGAAAAGGAAAGUGAAAUUCCAUGUGUAGCGGUGAAAUGCGUAAAGAUAUGGAGGAACACCAGUGGCAAAGGCGACUUUCUGGUCUGUAACUGACACUGAGGCGCGAAAGCGUGGGGAGCAAACAGGAUUAAAUACCCGGGUAGUCCACGCCGUAAACAAUGAGUGCUAAAUGUUAGAGGGUUUCCGCCCUUUAUUGCUGAAGUUAACGCAUUAAGCACUCCGCCUGGAGAGUACGGCCGCAAGGCUGAAACUCAAAGGAAUUGACGGGGGCCCGCACAAGCGGUGGAGCAUGUGGUUUAAUUCGAAGCAACGCGAAAAACCUUACCAGGUCUUGACAUCCUCUGAAAACCCUAGAGAUAGGGCUUCUCCUUCGAGAGCAGAGUGACAGGUGGUGCAUGUUUGUCGUCAUCUCGUGUCGUGAGAUGUUGGGUUAAGUCCCGCAACGAGCGCAACCCUUGAUCUUAUUUGCCAUCAUUAAGUUGGGCACUCUAAGGUGACUGCCGGUGACAACCGGAGGAAGGUGGGGAUGACGUCAAUCAUCAUGCCCCUUAUGACCUGGGCUACACACGUGCUACAAUGGACGGUACAAAGAGCUGCAAACCGCGAGGUGGAGCUAUCUCAUAAACCGUUCUCAGUCGGAUUGAAGCUGCACUCGCCACAUGAACUGGAACGCUAGUAUCGCGGAUCACAUGCCGGUGAUACGUCCCGGCCUUGUAACACCGCCGUCCACCCGAGAGUUGUACACCCGAAUCGGUGGGUAACCUUUUGGAGCAGCCCCUAAGGGGGACAGAUGGGGACGCC